rnacentral:lncRNA from 1 species
AGAAUGUUAAAAAAUAUCAUAUAGAUGUUUAGGAUUGUGCAUCUUAUAUAUAAAUAUAUAGAGCACUAUAUCUAACUAUCACAUGUAGACAUAUUUAUUGUUUGUAAAAGAAUUAAACCUGCUUUCUAAAUCCCCUAGUUGUGUUUUUGGUAUUUCUAAAUCUAUAGUUCCUAUUGUUUCCAAAUCACUUGUGUUUCAAGGAUCAAUAGAAAAAGAAAAAACACAAUUGUUUUUUAUUUAGAAGUUAAGCAAUUUUAAACAAACACUAACUGUAGAGCAUGUUGUUGCAUAGUCCACCAUUGUACUGACUUCUUCAUCUUCCUCAAGAAGGCCAAGUUUCCGCAACUCAUUGAUAUGCACUUUCUUUCUCUUUCCAUUGUAGUGAAAGUUUGUCUAAUGUAGCCCAACAUGGAAGCUUCUCAUAAUCAAUGUCAACAUACUUUCUUUUUUAUCUCUUUUAAUCCUUGUCGUAACAAAACUUGUUCUGCUUCUAUUUUUUCUUGCUUUUUCUGAUUUCACUUAUUUUAUUGAAGAUUCUAUUUGUUUGUAUUAUUUGUAUGUUUGUUUCCAUUUUUUUUUGUAUCUGUUUUUUUUCGUGCUCCUCGAUCACUUUGAAAUAUUUCAAAAUUGUUUGAUACUCUUCUUUUGUUGAGUCUAGUGAUGUCAUAAGAAACUACAAAUAACAUGAUGUUAAAUGAUUAGCGAAAAAGUAAGAACUUUAUUGAUAAACAAUGAUAGAUUUUUAUCCUUGUCUAUUCCAGAUAGACAUAGAUAGAAAUCUAUCAUUGUCUAUCGAGAAAGACAUAUAUAGAACAUGCUCUAAAUUUACUUACAUUCUCAUAUUAAAAAAUGUUCAUGUUUAGAGUCCUCUAGUCACUUGACUCCAAACAUUCCCAUUGCCAGGAUUGUUGGCCCUUGAAUUCCGAGCUUUCUUCCAAACCCAACAUCUUAAUUGCAAAAUCUUGGUAUUGUCUCAAAAGCCCAAUAGUGAUGUCGGAGGAAAUCCUUGAAGAUAUACAACAUUCUUGUUGCUGUAAGAUGCUUUCUUGAAGAAUUGAUAUGUUAGGAUGUAGGAUAAUCUUUCCCAUGGAUAGUCUUUGAAAGUUUCUCCAUGAUCCACUAUGUCUAGAUGUUGGAGAUUGGUGUGGUUGUGUUGUUGCUUGGGAAUUAAAAUUGCUUCCAAGAUAUAUAGAUUAACUAAUUUUUCUUUUAUUGAGUCUUUCUCAUUGUGUGGUGUUUUGAAAGUUCUCUUUAUAUCUCUUCUGAUUAUAAAGUCGUCGUGAGGGAAAAAGACAUUUUUCAAACUAUUCUCUUUUUUUCUCCUAGAUUUAACUAUGAAAAUUUGUGCUCUUUUUAUCUAGUGACCAAACUGAAUUCUUUUAGCCCAAAUUCUCAUAUAUGUCAUUGAAGUUGAAAGCAAGAAAAUUAGCCUUUUUUGUAUGUCAUUGCUUCCGCCUUAUUAAGAAAUUCUGAAAUUCUGAAUUGUGUUGGUAUUUUGGCCAUUUUAAUGUCAAGGAAGUUGCCAAAAAGAGUUGUUCUUCAAAACUUUUAGAAAGAAUUGUUUGGUCUAUUAUUUAUUUGAUAUGAUUUAAUGUGUCUAAACUACCGUAUACAAUAAUUCCAAGAUUUUUGUAUUCAUCUUUCAUAAUAAUUAUGUCAUUUGGAUGAUGUUUGACCUGUGGAAAGAUUUUUUGUAUUCAUCUUUCAUAAUAAUUAUGUCAUUUGGAUGAUGUUUGACCUGUGGAAAAGAUAUAAUAAGCAGUAUGUUAUAAACCAAGGCCUAGUGCUAACAAAUACACAAAUAUACAACACUAUUCAGAUUGAUAUUGACAAAGAUAGAGCAAUCAAACAAAAAUAGACAAAGAUAGAGGGCUAUACAGACUGACAUGCCUUUCCUUUAGACUUCACUGCUUUACUAGUUGAUGAUGUUGCUUUUCUUGCUCAACAUCUAUUUAUUAUAUAAAAAAAAGUUAGGGUUAAGUUACAUAGAAUAAGUGUGUGACUGUUAAAUUAAAUAAAAGGAAUAUAGAUUCAUACCUCUUUGUAUGGGAGAUAGAUCGAGAUAGAUAGAGAUGAAUGAAGAUAAAUUUGAUUGUGGAACCAAAAUAUUGAGCAAUGAACAGAAUGCUAGAAACAAAUUUUUGAAAAUUGAUGUAGAACAAAAUAUGAAGAACAAGAAGAGAAUUUUAGAAGUUUUGUUGGAGAAGGUAGGGGAUAAAUGAAUGAUCGAAGAAAAAGUUGUCUAAAUGAUAGAUUCUAUCGGUGAUAGAAGCAUAUCAGUGUACAUAUAUCAAUAUCUAGCAUUGAUAGAAUCUGAAAUUUUGCUAUAUUUUGUAAAUAUUUUGUCACAUUUGCCAUUUUUGACAAUUUUCCUUAAACUAAAUUGUUAAUUAUUUCUCCAAUUAAUUAAUUAUUAAAUUGAAUAUUUUAUAUUUAAUUAAUCUAAAUUUGAAUCAUAUUCUUAAUGCGUAUCAUAUACACAUCAAAUUUUAACCUAUAAUUUUAAUACAUGAAUCUAAUUCACAUUAAAUCAAUAUUUGAAUUUGAAUUCAUUCAAAUACUUUUAUUUCGUAAAUUAAUUUUGAAUCAUAUCAAAAAUUAAAUUUACAUGAUAAAAUUAAAUUAAAGUAUAAAAUUUAUAUUAUAAUGUAUUACCAUAUAUUAUAUCAAUAAAAGGCACCAUCAUCCAUGAAAAGGAACCAUCUUACUUCAUAGCCAAUAAGCAAAAAGGCAGCUCAGCUAGUUCAUAUUCUAUGGUCAUGUUUAGAAUGAAAGUCAGAUAAGACUAAGAAUGUGAAUCAUAUAUGACAAAUAAUUCUCUAAUUCAAAGAGAAGAAUUUGUAGGAACUAAUGGUGGCCAACAAAUUGCAAGUAGAAACAAUAUUGGUGUCUCUAAGUUGCAACAUGAGAGGCAUAUCAACAUGAAUAAAUCAGCAUUAGAAACAUUAGGAUCAACCUCAAGAUUAGAUAAUGCAUCAAUAUCAAGGGACUGUGUUUUAGAAAAUAAAGAGUGUAACAGGAAGAAGUUUUUAAAGUAAAAUAACAUCUCCGAUCCUGAAAUACAAACGGUUAUUUUAGAAACAAUAUAAGAACUCAAUUCUAGUUAAAAACCAUGAUACUAAAUUUUAACUUUCUCCAAAUUAUAGGAACCGAACCGAAGUUAUAACCUAACCUAAUCUUAAUGAAAAAUUUAUGAAUGGAUGGAUCAAAAUGCUAAAUGCUCCUAAAUGCAAAUCUCAAGAAACAUAAUUGAAACUUUGAUAAAAUAGCAAAAUAAAAAAAAUAUGAAAAAAAAUUGUUGCAACAAUGUCUUAAAUGCUCCUACUUUAGUGAAAAACUUGUAUCCCAAAUGUAAUUAUUCCACAAACCACAACUAUUUCGUAAUUAAUUCAAACUCCCAAAAAACAAUGAUUACAUCUAUCCUCUAAUUUUUCCUUAUGAACACAAUCAAAUCAAUUAAAACCUAUAAAAAUCCUAAUUUUCCCCCGAAAUCUGAAAUUCAUCAUCAUCAAAGCUCCACAUUCAAAACAUAAUUAAUUUGGAUAGACAUGUAAUGCCCCAAAAACUAAGGUAAUAUUGAAUUUAAUUAUCUUUAUUUUUUAUUUAAUUAUGUUGGAACUAUUGACCGUUAAUUUGAAAUAUUUGAUUUCAAAUCGAUGGUUUUAUGAAAUUAGAAUUAAUUAAAUAUUCAAACAACAAAUAUUUAAUUAAUUAGAAGAAUUGAAUUUUUGGUGUCAUUGAGAUUGAAUUUAAUUAAAUAAUUUGGGAGUGAUUUUUUUUUUGUUAGAGAUUUGACAAUUAUGUGUAUAUGUUGUUAUAUAUAUAAUUAUUAUGGAAAAGAGUAAAGAUAGUUUUAUUUAGGUUAAUUUUCAUAAACAUAACAAACGUAUCAAAUAUUUACGGUCCGUGUAACAAAAUGAAAAAAUCCAUGAAACUUACCAUUUUUUAAAAAUAUGGGUCUUUAACUCAUAUAGUCUAAAUUGCUAUAUGAUAUUACAUGAAGGAUCCAAAUUACUAAUAAAUUUCAUAAAAGCUCUAAAUGAACUAGUAUAUUACAUAAAUGUAGGCUCAAAUUACUUUAAUACUCAUUCAUAUUAUUUAAUUGAUUUAUAACAAAUAUCUAAAUGAAAAAAAUCAUGGAAUAUAGUUUUGAAAAGAAGUGGGGCCCAAAUUAAUUUAAUACGAAUUUCUAUUAUUUAAUUGAUUUAUAACAAAUAUCUAAAUGGAAAAAAUAAUGAGAUACGAUUUUGGAAAGAAGUGGAAAACUUUUCAUGCUUUCCUUCCACGAAAACGGUUGUCUACUCCUUCCAACGUGGAUUACGAUUUUUACUUCGAAAUGUUAGAGAGUUCGGAGGUAAAGAAGAAGACAGUCGACGACCGACAAAUACAAAACUUCUCGAACAUAAUCUAGUUAAAAACUUCGAGGUUAAUAUUGUAUAUAUUCAACACAUAUGAAACAUUAGGUAUAUUAGGUAUAUUUUAGAUAUUCAAUUAAAUAGUUAAUCAAAUGAAAAUGUAGUUUUGAAUGUGAUACAUUUUAGGGUUUAUUGAGAUUUCGACGGUAAAGAAGAAAACUUUCGAUGGCCGAAAAAUACAAAACUUAUCCGAUAGAAUCUAGCUAGGAAUUUUGUGAUUAAUAUUAUAUAUAUUUAAAACAAAUGAAACAUUCGGUAUAUUAGGUAUAUUUUAGAUUAUAUUCAAAACAUAUGAUGAUAGAACUAAGUCAUGCACAGCGGAAAAAGAAUCGAAUUUCUACCCUAAUUGCCACAAUUAACAUGUAACCAUAAACUAAUCAAAUUAGGGUUUUAAGAAAUAUUACCUUUGAAGCUUUCAAAAGGUUUGAUAUCUUCUUACCAAUUCUAACCGAGACCACCACUAGUACUCAACUGCUAUCCUCUAGACAAAGAACCGGGUUGUGAGACCUAAUUUUGGUGUAGAAAGUAAUGGAGAUAAAAUGGGAUUGGAAGGUUUUUUUUUCUUUGUUGAGAUGAUGAAAAUGAUAAAAGAGGCAAAAGUUUUUUCAACAUUUGAAAACACCUCCAUUUAUAACCUAAUUACAUGCAAAAAUGCAUGCAAUUCAUUUGCCAAAUCUCAUCACCUAAUGUUCCACUAACAAUUAGUGGAACUUAGUGGGCUAGGUGUCUAUAUCUCAUAUAGCCACAUAUCCCACUAAGAGUUAGUGG